UCCGUCGUCGAGUCCAAGGUCCGAGCGCCCGACGACGAUUGAAACAGCAAGACGACCAGGCCCUCCUCUUCCGCAAACUUUCUGACCGCGUGGCCUCCUCAGAUCCAUUCUUCUUCAUGUUCGUCUUUCUUCCAUCCGCAUCCUUCCGCUGCCUUUGUUUUUUCCUCCCACAGUUAAUUAAACGGUCCAAGAAUCAAAAUACAAUAAUCAUUUUAUACUAGCGUUUCCCAGGAAGUCAAAUCACAUGCUCAUAGCUCAAUUAUUAUUAAGGGAAAGAGAAGAAAAGUAAACCAGAAAACAGAAAUCAAGAGCCAAAAAUGGGACUCUUCACCUACACCAUAGCCGGCGGCGGUUUCAUCUUGAUCGGUGCUUGGGAAUUGUUCUUGUCUUCCUCUGAAUGUAUCCGAAAUACGCCACCAUCUCCGCCCCUUACCAGCCCUCGCUCCAUUUCAGCUACUAACAACAGCAGCACUCAAACGAAAAAGGCCCCUCUUUCUUCAUCAUCGGUAACAUGCUUAUCAAUCUCCGUCCUUUCUUUCCUCUUCAUUCUAAACUCUCUCAUCUCCAUCUCCGACGCCCUCAACUCCAAAGACCACGUCGGUUUCGCCUUCCAGUUAGAGGUAAUCGCAAUCGCUCUCCUUUUUUUCCUCUAUUCAACUUUGGGUCUCUUCACGCUUGUCAAGAUUUCGUUUCAAUUUCCUUCAGCGAUCCUCAAUAUGCUGCUUCUUUUCGCUUUCGGCGAAGAAUUUUUGUUCUUUUACGUUAGAAGAAAGGACCCCAGUGGGGUAGAAAACCGAUACUACGAUUUCUUCCUCGUGCCAAUAGGCAUUUGUCUGUUUUGUACUAUUCUAGAACUGAAAAGUCCCAAAUCGAAUUAUGCAAGAUUGGGACGCGGGGUUGGACUGGUUUUACAGGGUAUGUGGAUAGUCCAGAUGGGUUUCUCAUUUUUCUCCGAUUUGAUGAUGGUACACGGAUGCUCUUUGCACGGGAAGAGUAGAGGUAACUAUACGAUUAAGUGUAAAGGGCACCCUGAGUAUCACCGUGGUCGAGCGAUCGCUACGCUUCAGUUUAAUUGCCAUCUUGCACUUCUAGUGACUUUGAGUGUUGUGGUGUAUGGAAUUGUCUGCAAGAAGCAUGGGAUUAGGCGUGAUUUGGUGCUGUAUAGGCCGCUUGGAGCUGAGAUUCAGCCUCAGUUUACUUUGGAUUCUGAUGAUGAUCUUGAUGAUGCUGAUCAGAAUGGGAUUAAAGAGGUGAGGAGUGUGGAAAUGCAGAAGGCUAUUGUAGCAGUGCCUGCAUCAGAAGUCAAUGGUUAUGGUACUCAUUGACGAGGUAGAUAUUUGGAUCUUAGUUUUGUUAAGUGAAUAGCUUAGAUUAGCUCACUUGUUAAAUUGUUUGUGACAUAGAGUUUGGAUAAAUGCAAUGAGGGAAUUCUCUUCUUUUUUUUUUUUUGGGGUUAGCUGGUGAAGAGGAUAUUGAUCUGCAUUGUGAGUGCUGUUAUAAUUUUUCUUAAAGUUGCAAUUAUAGUAUUUCACGACAUUUUGGCUCUUGUUUGUCUUUAUGUUAUUGACGUAAACCAUGAAUUGACUCGAAGAAUUGCAAUGAUUGUUUGAUGUUCCUGAUUAUCAGCCAUGAUGAAUCUUUUAUAGCGGUUUAUUAUGAUUUAUUCGUGGUUCCUGCUAAUCGCAGAAUUUGUGAUUCGGUUUGUGAUCUGUGGCAAUAAUGUCACCUUUUGAAGGACUUCCAUUUCAGUGAUAAGGGUGGAAGGAGAAAAGAUCAUCAGUUAGUAACAUCUGAAUGUACUUGAGUAGCAAAUAUGCAAUCGGUUAGUUUGAAGGCUAGUAGAAUUAGCUCAAAGAAUGGAGACCAAAAGAGUGCAAAAUCAUUAUCAUUGAGUUUCUCAAGCAUUCGCAAGGGUGGCAAAGGGGUGAUGGAAGGUUCUAAAGGUGCUCAAAACAAGAAGUAGCUUAGAAUCUGGUCAUCACUUUGGCUGUAGAGACUAGAGAGAUAGACACAUCAAUUAUCAGCAUUAGGAAGACCUGCUGGAAUCUGCUGUUAGGUGAUAUCAAAGUUACUAAACCCUUGAUAUGAUGAACCAGGUUUAUUUGGGAUGGUAGCAUUAGUUGGACGCCAAGCGCGUCCUUGACUAGUCUGUGCUGUGUUUCAUUUUGCUCUCUUUGAUGGUACACUGUUCAUCUCUGCCUCACUUGGUAGACGAGUAGAUCAGGAUACAUAUUUCUAAACUUAUGCCCUCUUGCAUAUAGCAUUGUGGGUUGCACAGCUGGACCUAUUGGCUAGAUAACGAACAAAAUGUCUUUAUGUUUCAUGUUUAUAAGGAUUCACGAUGUGCAUAUAUAGACAUCAGUAUUGGAUUUU